UUUUGCUUAUGUGAAUGAUUUUGAAAAUCAAUCCUGAGGAAGGAAUUACCUCAAGCAAAAA
rnacentral:tRNA from 1 species